rnacentral:rRNA from 1 species
CACGUAGGGUGCGAGCGUUGUCCGGAAUUAUUGGGCGUAAAGAGCUCGUAGGCGGUGUGUCGCGUCGGCCGUGAAAACCUGCAGCUUAACUGUGGGCUUGCGGUCGAUACGGGCAUCACUGGAGUUCGGCAGGGGAGACUGGAAUCCUGGUGUAGCGGUGAAAUGCGCAGAUAUCGAGAGGAACACCUGCGGCGAAGGCGGGUUGCUGGGCUGACACUGACGCUGGAGGCGCGAAAGCGUGGGGAGCAAACGGG